rnacentral:rRNA from 1 species
AUGAGGGCCGCUCUCCGCCUCGCCUCCGCCCUCCGCCGCCUGCCAGCUCGCACCGGCGACCUCGUGUCCUCGCAGGCCGUCCUCCCGCCGCUCGCCGGCCGCGCCCCCCUCCUCUCACGCGCCCUCUCGCUCCCUCACCUCCCCGCCGCCGUCCGUCGUUUCUCGGACAAGAGCCCAAAAGACCACCUUGACCGCGCCACCACCCUGAUCAAGCAAGGGGAGCUUCUCGUCGAGGAAGGCAAGGUCAUUUCCCGUCACCUCACCAAGGGGGUCAAGGACUCCACCAAGGAUCGGCUUCGCGACUUCAAAUCAGGCCUAUCGGAAAUCAUCAGGCUGCAAUUUCGCCAUCAUUGGGUAAACCGCGUUGCUUGGCUGAGGAUCUCAGUGCACUCUUUACUUAUCCUCGUCACCGGUGGGAUCCUCAUCCAUCUUGGGGGCUCUUACCUGUUGGACUUAUGCAAGCCUCACAUGAAGGCGAUUGCUACCAAGGCAAUUGACAAGGCGGAGGAGAGGGGUAAGGAAGUGGCAAGGUCGGACAAGUCGAGGGCGGCGGCUCAGAAAUUCAUCGAUCAGGCCAUCAACAGUUUCUCCAUAUGGGCGCUUGUGUUUGGCUGGAAGAAGAAGAAGGAUGAACCCAAGAAGGAGGAGGAGGCACCCAAGAAGUAG